rnacentral:rRNA from 1 species
AUGGAGAAAGAAGAUGAGUUCCAUGCCAUCAUCAAAUGCACAAGGAGCCGAGCACUAAGACAUGCGAUGAGGGCUCUGUGGGAUCUACCAAAGGAAACAGAAAUGACAUAUACUGGGGGAGACUGGUUACAGGUGCUCCUGCUCGCCCAGUCUGAGAAUGUCAGGAGUAAUAUACUGAUGGUCCUAUGGCAAGCAUGGAGUCUGCGAAACAACCUAGUCCAUGGCGAUGGCAGAGAUACAGUUUCAGGUUCAGUGCAGUUCCUUCUUAGGUUGAAGGAAGAUCUCCUGCUGGCAGCAGGGAAUGAUGACGCAGAGGGAUACAAAAAGAAGCAGUCAUUAUUCCCACAACGUUGCUAUACACACGACGUCCUAUGCACGAUUUACAGACGAUACUAA